CUCGCGGUCCAGGUCCAGGUCUAGGUCCAGGAGUCCUCCACCCGUGUCCAAGAGGGAAUCCAAGUCCAGGUCGCGAUCCAAGAGUCCUCCCAAGUCUCCUGAAGAGGAAGGAGCGGUGUCCUCUUAAGCAAAUGGUAAUGUCUAGGGGGAUCCGAGACUCAUGGCCCGAAAUCAGAGAUGGGGUUUGGAGUAGGUUUUUUGAUCCGUAUUAAUGAAAAAGUGACUCCUGAUGUUAGGAGUGCUGCUCUGAGCUAACUCAGUUUUGGGAGUAAUACUGAAGAGAGGGGUCUGCAGAAAGGAUGUGUAUAAAGCUUAGAUAAUAAUGGCUGUUUCAUGAACUGUUUGAGACCUAUUAAUGAAAAUGACUAUUUCUUGCUGUUUUUAUCCAACGUCUGCAUUUUCCCCUUUAAAGCUGCGGUCUCCUGUUUGAUAAAAGAAUAUUGGCCAGUAUUGCAGAUUUUAACUGAUUUGGCUGAUCCUCCAGGGACCAGUUUCUGUGGGCGUGUAUUGGAGCAGAUGUGUCGACAAGCAACAUAAAGGAAGACUUGGGGGAAAAGGACCAAGUACUCAGUCCAUCGAAGAGUCCUUGGAACAAGCAACUGGCUAUUGAAAAGGUUAUUUUGUAACAUUUUGUCUAACUUUUUACUUGUUUUAAGCUUUGCCUCAGGUGGCAAGCUAAUUUUAUGUGCCAUUUUGUUGCUGUUAUUCAAAUUUCUUGUAAUUUAGUGAGGUGAACGACUUCAGAUUUCAUUAUUGGCUUGGAUAUUUGAGGUAAAAUUUCCUUUUUGUUUAUAUAGUGCUGACUUUUUUUGUUUGAAAUUAAACAGAUUGGUAACCUAAUUUGUGGCCUCCUUACUUUUAAGGAAACGUGUGCAGCCAUUACACACAGCCUAAAGCUGUCAAGAGAUUGACUCAACAUUGCCUUCAUACCUUAAAAUUUAAAACCUACAAAAGUUGGUGUAAAUUUGUUUGUAUAUGUUAUUUACCUUCAGGUCUAAAUGGUAAACUGAACCCAAAUUUGUAUAAAGACUUUUCAGGUGAAAAGACUUGAUUUUUUUUGAAAGGAUUGUUUACCAAACACAAUUCUAAUCUCUUCUCUUAUGUAUUUUUGUGCACUAGGCGCAGUUGUGUAGCAGUUGAGUAAUGCUGGUUAGCUGUUAAGGUGGCGUGUUGCAGUGCAGAGUGCUUGGCUGUUUCCUGUUUUCUCCUGAUUGCUCCUGUGUAAAGAUGCCUUGUCGUGCAGAAACAAAUGGCUGUCCAGUUUAUUAAAAUGCCUGACAACUGCACUUCCAGUCACCCGGGCCUUGCAUAUAUAUAACGGAGCAUACAGUGAGCACAUCUAGAGAUGAUAAAUACACCUUUUUUUUCUUCCUCUUCCCCCUCCCCCAAAUGGUAAAUUUGAACAUCUUCAUGUAUGAACUUAAAAUACGGAAAAUGUUAAGGAAGCAAACAAAAUGGUUUUGUAACUUUGUAAGUACUUAUAACAUGGUGUAUUUUUUUUCCUCAUGAAUAUUCUGUACUAUAACCAUUGUUUCUGUAGUUUAAUUAAAACGUUUUCUUGGUGUUAGCUUUUUUCAGAAUAUGUCUUGGUCUUUUUUCCCCCAUUUAUUUGAAAGACCUGUGCAAUUACCUUGUGAAUGUUACCGGCUGUAUAGUAUGAAAGUGAAAUGUUCAGUAGCUGAUUACUUUCCCCCUGAGUUAAAAGGUGGAAAUGCCAGUUCAGCACCAGCUGUCCCUAAAAUGAAUGCUCUUAAGAGGUAGCACUUUGAGGUUGUGGGUACCUCCUGCUCUCAACCCAGAUGCCCUAUUUUACUGACUAAGGAAAAGAUCCAAGAGUUUUUUCUUAUAAGUGUUUAAUGGUUUUUUUGGUUUUAAUUGUUAUGUGAUCCAUCACAAUCCAAAGCCAACAGGUCUAAUCCAUCUUCAAAUUCACUGUUUGUACACGAGAAGCUGAAGUGGUCUGAGUCAUAGUUGGCUUGCCAAGUUGCUAAUCAGUAUUGACAUUGUCCCAAAACAGCCUGUAGGUAUAAUUCAGAGACUGUCCUUUGCAAAGGAGAUGACCAGCAUUUCAACAGUAUGUCUUCCUGGGAGGGCAGAUUCUGCUAUAUCUUCCUUGUCUGCACCAAAAGACUCCAGAGGAAUGUGAACACAUUUCAUGUCCCACUUGUAGAGCAAAGCUUCAAGUGACCAGUCAGCACUAAAAAAUAAAUUUUUUUUAAAACUAA